GCCAGCCUCUACCGCUGCUUCCCCCCCAUCCCCGCCGCGCUAAGGGAGGCGGCGGGGUCUGAACCGUCGCCCGCUGCGGGCAGCGCCGCCGUGAGGGUCUGCCCCGCCACCGGGCCCUGCCGUUACCUGGGAGAGCCGGGGAAGACCUAGAGAGGGGGAAUCGCACCCUAUGCCCAGGACCUGUGUGGAAGGGUUCCAUGGUCACUGCUGUGUCAGUGAUGAGUAUCAGUGCACACUGCAUGGCACCCCACAAUGCUGAAGAGGAGACAGUGCUGAGGACCUGCUCAAAUACACCUAUCCCAGACCUCACCUGCUUUGUGCUGGAGAUCCUGUCACUUUGCUGAAGUGAUGUAGAGGAGAAAAAACGUGAUGGAGGUCAAGUUCAGCAAUACACGGCAAUACACAGUCUGGACUAUGAAGGGAGCUAUUUUUAACCUGGAUGUGUUCUGCGAUUUGUUUCCCACACAGCAUUGAAACUGGCACAGCUGAGAGAUAGGCAUCAAUGAAGUUGUACCAUGAGGCCCAAGGGCAACCAGGAGACACUUCAGGGCUUCAGGAUGGUUGCUUAAGGGGUCAGGAGCACAGACGCUUAAAUUAGCAAGACUUUUUCUUUUCCAGUUAUCUAAAUAACUUUCCCUGUGAACUGAACUGCUUCCUCUGGAUAAUACAUUGUUUUUCUACCUGCUGGAGAGGUGGAGUCCCCCUGAAUGUACUGCUGUUCUGCAUAACUGGGAACUGUCUCCUUAAUGCAGAGUAAGACAGAACAGCUUGGACUUAGUGGUCCUGUGAGAUUUACAAAUCAAACCAGCUAAUCAAGAUUUAAAACAGCUCUGGAUUGAAAAGGCUAGCAAGUGGUCUAGCUGUGAGUUAAUUCAUUAGUUGCAGUAAAUAUCACUAGAAGAGCUUGUCAAAAGGAAAUGUGAAGCAGCUGAAAAGAAUCAUCCUUAAAGUGAAUGUCAGAGGCUUUUGCAGCUGUCAUCCAGUGGACUGGAGAUUCCAGGCAUUGGGGAGAAAAUGAGGGUGAAAGAAAUAAAAAUUUGAGUACAGAGGAUAAAGUACUAGUUCCCACUGAGUGAUUAUAAAGGAAGCAAUCUCACCACUACAGGGACCUAAUUAGAGACUGAAUCUCACAACCCUCUAAUGUUUCCUCCAGGACUCUGAGAAACUCAAACUAGCUAAACGCAGUCUGCUCAGACCAGCAGCAGGAGGAGGCUCUGCUGCUUCAGGGCACACUGGAAUGCCACUUUUAUGCAGCUAUGGGCAUUUCCAGUGUUCUUGUGUCCUGUUCAGCACUCACCUAGAACCAGAUCAGCAACAUUGUUUUCUUGCCUGGCCAGCACAGAAUCAUCCUGGUGCUACAGAAGGCAACAAUGGGCUUCCACUGACGCAUACCUGAGUAUCCCUGAGGAAAGGCAUCAGGACCCAUGGUCCCAGGCUAAUAUAAGAGUUAGUUGUCAGCAUUAAAAAAAAAGAGAAUUUCAGGUUUUUAUGACUGAUCUGAUGAAUCACUAUUUUUCUUGCUGCCCAAACUGUGUAGAUCAGGUGCAAGUCCUCAGGCCAUCCUGGAGACGCCAAGUGCUGUCAGUCAGGGCUUGUGUGUAUCCAUUCACUUAAGCCUGGGUGCAGGGCUCAGCUCUCCCACCUCGAUCCACCUAUUGCCUGUCUGAGACAGUGUUACCCUGCUCCCCAUCCUUGUGGAAAUGUGGAAACAUUGGCCAUAGUUUGAGGCUAAACUUUGGCAGCAAUGCCCACUGCUCUCUCCUCCUUCCAGACUCUCUAGCUGCUCCCUCUAAGUUCUGGGCUGCAGUGCAUCACCUCAUCAUUGAUGUGCCAAGCAGGGAACUCCCUGACUUAGGUUUUUUCUUUGUUUGGUGAUUUCUUCUAAACAGCAACAAGUUUUUGCUGGAUUUUAUUUAUGACUGAUCAGUUGUGGACCCUGGUCCUCGGUAUUUCCCUUCUGGUGCCAGAAAGCACUGGAACAGAGCCGUGCUCUGGGGUCAGCAGUGGGGUCAGCAAGGAGGAAUUAUUUUGCCUGCUAUUGCCAUGAAAGGCACAUUUAAUGUAACCUUGUCCCCACAGAGUGAUUCUGUGCAAGUGAGGCUUCAGGGGAGUGCAGGGAUCUCUUCCAGUGUUACUACUAGUAGCAGUCGCAUUUUUCUGUAGCAGGAUUUUCCAGGCAUAGGGAAGGUCUGUGCCUUCUGAGACCACUCAGGUAGUUCAGCACUCCUGGGGAGAAGAGGGCUAACUGCUCAGGAUGUGCAGAUUCAUCGUGUUUACAGGGAUAGUGGUUUAGGGGUCUCUUCUGAAGCUGAGAAAAGGUAAGUGACCUGAGAGAGCUCAGCCAAUAUCUGACAAGGACAUUUUCAUAACUGAGAUAAAUAAACAGAUGCCUUUUUUGCUCUAGGGAGAUAAUUUCUUCUGUGUUACUAGCCUGAGACCACUCGCUUGGCUUAGCCUGUAUUUUUACCAUAUGAAACAAGCCUGAACCAAUUCAUUUGAGGUUGUUAUUAAUUUGGGUCAAUAUGAAAUAUUUCUGGCAUUUCUUUUCCAUUUUCUGGCCUUUGUAUUUUACUGUGUGUAUGUUUUCUUCUCUUACUUCUCAGUUCUCCUCUCUGGUAAUAUUUUAAGUCCUUAAUUGACUGAUGCUGCAGAUGGAGAGUAUUAGUUACCUUCCAUGACCACUCUGACCACAAUGACUUCCUUUGCUUGACAAGCUGAUUAAUUUGUCAAGGUGAAUGUUUAAGUCUGUCUGAAGUAUCUCUGUGUAUCUUGUGCAAGAUUGCAGUUUCAAGUUCGUUCCUUAUUGGACAUGUUGUUUCUCCAGACCCAGAAUACCUUUGAGGGCCUUUUCUUCCCCCAGUUCCCUACUGAGAGUGAUGCUCCUGCAGUUUAUACCAAUGAUCAUAUCCUGCAUGUCCCCUAGAAGAAGGUAGAUAGCAGGUGCAGCAUGGAAGCCAUAGCAUCAGCAGUGCUUUCAGAUUGUCCAGUGGAUGUAACUGAGGGAAAACAGGAAAACUCAAGUAAAUUAAAUGCAUUUUAUAGUAGUUCCUGAGGGAGAACAGAUUGCAUCGUUUGUGAGCUUCAAUCCAGGUUAAGCAGGCUGGAUCUUUCACAGAGAAGUUGCUGACUUUGUCCCCAAAAUAUCAUUGUUAAGAAAAGAAAAAUAUCCAAAUUUCUCUUAAUUUUUCCUAGUUGGUACACUAUAAAGGCAUUCAGACCACUAUAGACAUAAGAAUUCAGGAAACAACACUAAGCAACACAAAGAACAAAAAACAGUAGGUACUUCCUGAGCAGAUUGAAAAACUGAAUCCUAUUCCAGUGAAUGCUUAGGGAGAGUAAGUCCUAAUAGGUACAGUAGCCACAUGUCACCUAGGACCAGAGUGUGAACAAUUCUUUUGUAAUAUUACUUGAUGAAUGUCUCAACAUCUUGAGCUCGUUGCAGAAGAGAAAAGAAAAACUGGCCAGUGUUAUUUUCUGGUGGUACUGGAACAAUAAUUUCUCUAACCCUCUGUGGUGGUAUCCAACUGUCUUGGAUAUCUGAGCGGGCAGGUCAAAGGAAAGCAAUGUGUAGACUUGAUUUUUGAAAGCGCCUUUUUCCAGUAAGUGUGAACUUCAUUUCCUUUUAGGAAUAAUAUUUUUUCCUGGCAUAUUGUACCAAAAAUAAUAAAAUAAACAAAUGCAUGGUAUACUUGUAAGAUGAACCUCAGA